rfam:Aspergillus rambellii strain SRRC1468 contig00060, whole genome shotgun sequence.
GCGCUUGUGGCCAAGUGGUAAGGCGUCGCACUUGUACCAUUCACGUGGAAUGCGAAGACCGUCAGUUCGAAUCUGGCCGGGCGCA